rnacentral:rRNA from 1 species
UACGUAGGGGGCGAGCGUUGUCCGGAUUCAUUGGGCGUAAAGCGCGCGUAGGCGGCUUCGCAAGUCGGCCGUGAAAUCUCCCGGCUCAACUGGGAGGGGUCGGGCGAGACUGCGGGGCUGGAGGCGGGCAGAGGGCAGUGGAAUUCCGGGUGUAGUGGUGGAAUGCGUAGAGAUCCGGAGGAACACCAGUGGCGAAGGCGGCUGCCUGGGCCUGGCCUGACGCUGAGGCGCGAAAGCGUGGGGAGCGAUCCGG